rnacentral:rRNA from 1 species
AUUGAACGCUGGCGGCAGGCCUAACACAUGCAAGUCGAACGAGUGGCGGACGGGUGAGUAAUGUCUGGGAAACUGCCUGAUGGAGGGGGAUAACUACUGGAAACGGUAGCUAAUACCGCAUACCAUCGGAUGUGCCCAGAUGGGAUUAGCUAGUAGGUGGGGUAAAGGCUCACCUAGGCGACGAUUCCUAGCUGGUCUGAGAGGAUGCCGAGCCACACUGGAACUGAUGCACGGUCCAGACUCCUACGGGAGGCAGCAGUGGGGAAUAUUGCACAAUGGGGGCAAGCCUGAUGCGGCCAUGCCGCGUGUAUGAGGAAGGCCUUCGGGUUGUAAAGUUCUUUCAGCGGGGAGGCGUUACCCGCAGAAGAAGCACCGGCUAACGCCGUGCCAGCAGCCGCGGUAAUUC